rnacentral:rRNA from 1 species
CAGGCUUAACACAUGCAAGUCGAGGGGCAGCAUGGUCUUAGCUUGCUAAGGCCGAUGGCGACCGGCGCACGGGUGAGUAACACGUAUCCAACCUGCCGUCUACUCUUGGACAGCCUUCUGAAAGGAAGAUUAAUACAAGAUGGCAUCAUGAGUCCGCAUGUUCACAUGAUUAAAGGUAUUCCGGUAGACGAUGGGGAUGCGUUCCAUUAGAUAGUAGGCGGGGUAACGGCCCACCUAGUCUUCGAUGGAUAGGGGUUCUGAGAGGAAGGUCCCCCACAUUGGAACUGAGACACGGUCCAAACUCCUACGGGAGGCAGCAGUGAGGAAUAUUGGUCAAUGGGCGAGAGCCUGAACCAGCCAAGUAGCGUGAAGGAUGACUGCCCUAUGGGUUGUAAACUUCUUUUAUAAAGGAAUAAAGUCGGGUAUGGAUACCCGUUUGCAUGUACUUUAUGAAUAAGGAUCGGCUAACUCCGUGCCAGCAGCCGCGGUAAUACGGAGGAUCCGAGCGUUAUCCGGAUUUAUUGGGUUUAAAGGGAGCGUAGAUGGAUGUUUAAGUCAGUUGUGAAAGUUUGCGGCUCAACCGUAAAAUUGCAGUUGAUACUGGAUAUCUUGAGUGCAGUUGAGGCAGGCGGAAUUCGUGGUGUAGCGGUGAAAUGCUUAGAUAUCACGAAGAACUCCGAUUGCGAAGGCAGCCUGCUAAGCUGCAACUGACAUUGAGGCUCGAAAGUGUGGGUAUCAAACAGGAUUAGAUACCCUGGUAGUCCACACGGUAAACGAUGAAUACUCGCUGUUUGCGAUAUACGGCAAGCGGCCAAGCGAAAGCGUUAAGUAUUCCACCUGGGGAGUACGCCGGCAACGGUGAAACUCAAAGGAAUUGACGGGGGCCCGCACAAGCGGAGGAACAUGUGGUUUAAUUCGAUGAUACGCGAGGAACCUUACCCGGGCUUAAAUUGCAGAUGAAUUACGGUGAAAGCCGUAAGCCGCAAGGCAUCUGUGAAGGUGCUGCAUGGUUGUCGUCAGCUCGUGCCGUGAGGUGUCGGCUUAAGUGCCAUAACGAGCGCAACCCUUGUUGUCAGUUACUAGCAGGUUCCGCUGAGGACUCUGACAAGACUGCCAUCGUAAGAUGUGAGGAAGGUGGGGAUGACGUCAAAUCAGCACGGCCCUUACGUCCGGGGCUACACACGUGUUACAAUGGGGGGUACAGAGGGCCGCUACCACGCGAGUGGAUGCCAAUCCCCAAAACCUCUCUCAGUUCGGACUGGAGUCUGCAACCCGACUCCACGAAGCUGGAUUCGCUAGUAAUCGCGCAUCAGCCACGGCGCGGUGAAUACGUUCCCGGGCCUUGUACACACCGCCCGUCAAGCCAUGGGAGCCGGGGGUACCUGAAGUGCGUAACCGCAAGGAGCGCCCUAGGGUAAAACUGGUGACUGGG